UUUAUAUAUUUAUACCAUUGUAGCUCUAAAUCUAAAUAAAAUUUUGUAAAUGAAUGUGCAUAUGUUCAUCCUUACAAAAAAAGAAGAAUGAGAAAAUCAUGUCUAUUAUUGAAGUUUUGAUGACACAAACCUACAAAUUAAUUUGGAAUAAAAAAUAUAGUUGCAUCAUUAAUCAAUAGAUGGGCCAAGGACUUUAACUUUAACUUGACACGAAAAAAGAAUCGUGUCGACCCGGACUUGACUCAUUUAAUAAUCGUGUCAAAUUUAACGAUUUAUACAUAUUUAGUUGUGUCAUGUUCGUGUCGAAUAAUCAAAUCUUUUGAAAAUUUGUCACCUUUAAUGAUUACAACAACCUCUUAAGCUAGGACAAGCAGAGAAUUCAAAAGCAGGACAAAUAAUUCAGUGUUUUCUUAAAUUCAAAUUAUUGUGCAUAUAAUUUCUCAACUUUUCAAUUAUAUAAAAAUAAGUGCAACUUAUUUGGGAAACUUAUUCACUACAAGAAAAACGAGCUUUAGUGAUACUUGUCCUCGGACACUUAGAUAAAAUGUAUUAGCAUAUACAUACAGUUGGGCCAUUGCCUAUGUCUAAUUGACAAAUAUCACAAAUUGCUAAUGCGAUAGUGUCUGUAAAUUAAACAUUAGCGAUCCAUGACAUUAAGGUAUCACUAUUAAAAGAUUAAUAACUUUUGUUCUAUUUUAGUCUGAAUUCUAAUUCAACGCCUUUAUGACUUAACUGCUUAAGUUCAAAAAAAAAGAAACUAUUGAGAUACAAUUUUUAUUUUAAUAAUUAUGAAAAAUAAAAAAAAUCAAAACAAAUGCAUAGCCAAAUCAGCUUUAACCUAAAUUUCUUAAACUUCUAUUUCUAAACUCACCACCAUCCUUUCUUAACUCUCUAAAAGUUAAGAUUAAUACAAAACCUAGCUGCGUAAAUCUUGUAGGAUAAAAAUCAUAGUUGAACUCUCUGACUCAAUUUUCUAUAGCCACCAACUGAUUAAAUUUUAGGAGGCCACAUAAUCUUUGUGAAAGUUGUUGCAGACUAGCCAGCUAUUGAACCAGCUAUGAAGCUAUCAGAGUUGCCACAAGUUGCCACUAAAAUAUGAGCAGGCUAUUAACCUCGAUCCACCAUAGUUGUUGUUGUGCAAAUUUUUAGUAUACUCGCAAGUGCACGAAUCUUUAGAAAUAGAAUAGUGGUAAUAAGGUCGAACUCACAAGGAUUGCUAAAAGUUGGAAAGUCUAAUUUAAGUGUAAAAUUAAUGUUAAUCCUAACCUAGUUAAGCAAAUUAAGUUUUAAGAGAAUUUAAACUAAUUAGACUAAGAAAACAUCAAAUCAAAAGAGAUUUCAAUAAGGCAAAGGUUUACCAAGGUUUCAAAAUCCAUCAAUAUUCAAUUAGUAAUUAUUUAAUUAUCAAUUAAUCUCCAAUUUUUGAGUGACAACUCGAAAUCAGUUUAUGUCAUCUCAUAGAUAUAACAAUUAACCUAAAGUAAUUAAAUCUAAUGUAGAUUCUUUUUCACUUCAGGGGAGCAUUUAUAAGCAUUAGAUGUAUCGUAUUGAAAAAUAAAGAAUCAAAGUUUCCUAAACAUUUUACGUAUCCAACUUAUUGAAAAAUAAAUAAUCAAUGAGAUCACAUUAAUCAUGAUUUCAUCAAGUUUAAAUUAGUCAAAUAAUCUCUUAACUAUCUAGAAUAAAUGAUAAGAUGAAAAAGAUAAUUAUUCAAUUAAUCAUGUAAAAGAAGAACCAUAAUCAUCAAACAAGAUAUGUAAAGGAUUGAUUAAAUAAAAAGAUAAAUAUUUAAUUAAAUAGAGUUUCGUCAUUAACCUCAAUAUAAGAAAAUUAACUAGACGUAUAUUGAGUGCUGGAGAAUGUAUAUUUAUAUAGGGUAAAAUUGUUAUUUUAUUCUCCAAAGUCUCACUAACAUUUUCACUUUUACGUUUUUAAAUCUUUUAAGCUUUUAUUAGGUGUGUUUUAUUAUAAUUUAAGUAUUUUAUGUAUUUUAUGGAUAUUUUGUCCAUUUCACGACUAACAAGAAGUUAGACAGUGAAAUGAAUGGUAUUUUUGAACUUAGGAUGGUCGAAAACCUUAGGAGGAACAUAAAAAAGUAUUGGGUAUUGUUCACAUAUACGAUAUUGUUUAAGUAUACGGCACUGUUCACAUAUAUGGUCCAAUGACGUGGCAUUGAAUGAUGACAUGUCAACAUCCUAUUGGACCAAUGAUGUGGCAUUGACUAAUGAUGUGGCAAGAUACUAUUGAACCAAAAUACUGAUUUGGCGUUGACCGAUGACGUGACAACAUCUUAUUAGACUGAAAUGCUUAUGUGGUGUUGACUCAUGAUGUGUUCCAACCAAUCAAAGCUUGCCACGUGGUACUAUCUUGAGCGUGCGAAUUAUUUUCAUUUGAUGCCCAUGAUUUAUCAAUUGUAUCUAUAAAUAGAGGGCUCUCCCCUAAUUUGACACCCUUGAAUUUCUUUUUGAACUCUAUUUUCUAUAAUUCUCCCUCCAUAUUGUAUUUUCUACGUAUUUUAAUAAAAUUACCAUUUUACCCUUAGUUCAAUUAUGAGUGGCUAAUUUAGUUUCAACCUUAGGUUGAAGGUGAAACCUCAGCAUGAUUCAAGGGCUUAAUUAGGUAAGUUUAUUUUAUUUUCUUCUUUGAUUUAUAUGGCUUUUUUGACUCAUUGUCGAUAGACAGUGUAUCAUGUCUAGAUUUUACAUGGUAUACCGGCUCCUUAUUGAAGGAUCGUUACUAUCUGGGACAAUGAAAGCUUAACACCAUAUUAAUUAGAGAGAAAAUUUCCCUCUAGUAUUUUGUAAGUCGUCUUGACUCAGUGUCGACAAGGAGUGUAUCUAAGUAUUUUAGUGGAUGGUCUUCCCACAUUGUCGACAGAAGGAUUGUUAUCGUCUGGCAUAACGUGUUUUUUACACCACAUUUAGUGGAAGAUCAUUACCUCUGGCACACUGAGCGCUUGACCAUUGAGAAAGGUAAAUUCUCAAGUUAGCCAGUGCCCAAUCUUAAAGGAAAACAUAAAGUGAAUACAAGUUUAUCCUAGCAUCAUGAAGAAGUCAAAGUCGUUAUGACCUUGCGAAAAAGGCAAAGAAGUGGACAAAAAACAUACCGGUGACAAAGACAACUCUAGAAUCUGAAGACCUAUCAACAAAAGAGAAAGAAGAUAACAGCCCACGAGAAUAUAUUAUUGAGUGUUAGAAAAUGUAUAUUUAUAAAGGAGAAAAUCGUCAUUUUACACUUCAAGUUUUACUAACACCCUUACUUUUAUGUAUUUAAGCUUCUUGUCAUUUAAUUAUAUGUGUUGUAUUAUAAUUAAGUAUUUUAUGUAUUUUAGGGGCAUCAUAGUCAUUUCACAAUGAACGAGAGAUUAGACGGCAAAACAGACAUCACUUUUGAACUCAGGACGGUCGAAAACCUUAGGAGAAGCAGAAAAGGAAAAAUGGCAUUGUUCACAUGUACGGUACUAUUCACAUGUACGGUACUGUCUACGUUACUAUUCACGACACUGUUCACAUAGACGGAUUGAUGAUGUGGCAUUGACCGAUGAUGUGGCAUUGACUGAUGAGGUGUCACGAUCCUGUUGGACUAAAAUUCUUAUACACUGUUGAUUAAUGACGUGGCAGCAUAUCAGUGGACCAAAAAUCUCGCGUACGGUACAUGCAUUACACAUGAUUAUUUUCAACCAAACCGCGUCACUGUUCAAGCCGGGUCAAACCGUGUUACUGUUCAAACCGCGUGGUCAAGCCGCGUACAGUUGACUGAUGACGUGGCACAAUCUUAAGCGUCCAAACUGUUUUUAAUUCGAUGGCCACGAUUUACUCAAUGUAUCUAUAAAAAUGAGGCCUCCCCCCCCUAAUUGGAUAGCUCUGAAUCCAUUUUUGGACUCCAUUUUCUGUAAUUCCCUCUCCAUCUUAUAUUUUCUAUGUAUUUUAAUAAAUUUUCAUUUUGCCCCUAGUUCAAUUAUGAGUAGCUAAUUUUCUUUCAAGCUUGGGUUGAAGGUAAAGUCUCAACAUGUGUCAUGGACUUUAUUUGGUAAAUUUAUUUUCUUUUCCCCUAUAAUUUUUGUGGAUGUUUUGACUUCUCGUCGAUAAAUAAUAAUAAUCUUGUCUAGAUACCACAUUGGUUUCACCGGCUCUCUAGUACAAGGUUAUUAUUAUUUGUCACGAUAAACCAUUAGCACCAUAUUGAUUAGAGUGUGGUUCAUGAGGUGUGGAUUCCCCCUUCUUGAUUUAAUUGGCAUUAAUAAUAAAUAUUUAGCCCAUGGUGCAUGUUGAUACGGAUCCAGAUACCCAAGUACGUCAUUUCAAUAGAUUUCACUUCAAUUUAUUCUCGCAUUUUCAAUUCCAAUUUUAAAAUAAUCUAAGUUACAUUCACCACAAAUCCAACCACCCUCAUACAAAAUUAAUUCUACAUAUAAUUAAAAUCCACCUCCUCGUGGGAUCGGCACUCGUCACCAUUAAUCUAUUCUACAAUAGAUUCGUGUAUUUGCGAGUUCAAUAAAACUUGCACAAUAAGUUUUUGGCGCCGUUGCCGGGGAGGUAAGUUAUUUUAAUUCGUAAAAUUAAUUUUUGUGAAUAAUUUUUUUAUUUGUUUUCUUGUAUUUUUUUAUUAUUAAAAAAAAGAAAAAAAAGUGAAUCUGCAUUUAGAGGUAAUAAUUUCUUUCUUUCUCUAUUCUUUACAAUUCUGUAAUUUAAUUUUUAAGUUAUUUUUCUUUGUAAUUUUUGUUUAUCUUAUUAAUUUAAUUUUUAGUCAAUUUAUUGCAUGAAUUUUUUAGUGUGUUUUUAUAGAAAGGUUUUAACAGUGUAAUAAGGUUAGUACCGUAAUUUCUCAUUCUUCUUUAUUUUUAUUUGUUUUGUUCCCAUUUAUCUUUUGUUCUUUGCAUGCAUGGUCGUAGGUCAUUAUUACCUAAUCUUGAACCUAUAGACCUUGAACUUGAGAAAACACUUCGCACACACAAACAAGUUAAAAAUAAAAUGGAUUUGCAACCACAAGAGAGGCCAUUUAAGGACUACUUUAGUCCUUUAGCUAAUUUGAGCACAUCAUGCAUAAGAUACCCAAAUGUAGCUGCUAGGAGUUUUGAACUAAAACCUAGUGUGCUAAAUUGUCUCCCUACAUUCUAUGGCUUAGAAAAUGAGGACCCAUAUAAUCAUUUGAAUGAUUUUCAUGUUGUUUGUCAAACAUUUAGAUAUGAGAAUUUUUCAGAUGAUGAUGUUAAACUUAGACUAUUCCCAUUUUCUUUAAAGGAUAGAGCUCAUUCAUGGCUCAAUACAUUGCCUGCUAAUAGCAUCACAUCAUGGGAACAAAUGGUAACAAAAGUUUUGAAUAAAUAUUUCCCAGUGCAUAAAACUAAUGCUAUUCAUAGGGAAAUUUCAGAGUUUACCUAGAGAGAAGACGAGCAGUUUUUCAAAACAUGGGAGCGAUUCAAUGGGCUACUCUUGAAGUGUCCACAUUAUGGGUACGAGAAAUGGCACCAAUGCCAAUAAUUUUUGGAGGGAUUAUUGCCGAAUGUGCAAGAAUGGCUAAUGGCAACAAGUGGAGAAGAGCUGAUGUUAAAAAGUGCAUUAGAGAUUUAGGAAUUUUUCCAGCGACAAGCAGAUAAUUUCCAACAACGGAGUCGGUCGCUCAGGAAUACUAAAAGAAUUAAAGGAGUGAAUGAGGUUCACAUUGGCGAGUCAACGUUGAGAAUCAAAGAAGUUAAGGAGAUGGUUAAAGGUCUCGCUUGACAAAUAGCAUCGUUAUCAACUGCUAAAUCAACAGAGCCACAUGACCAUGACUCAUACUCAAAUCAAGCCAAUGCCAUAGGUGUAAUGAGAAAACUAUCAAAUUACAACCCAUACUCCAACACAUAUAACCUUGGAUGGAGAGACCACCGCAAUUUUUCAUGGUCUCAAGAAUUCCAACAGAAUGGACCAGUAGCUCUAGCUCCACCAAUGCAACCAAUUCCUCAAGCCUCUCAGCCCCCAUUUAGACCAUUCAAUUAGAACCAGAACUACUCUCAACCCAGACCAUGGGAGGAUGCAUUCUAGAAUUUCAAGAAUGUUACUCACUCUGCGAUUGAGUAACAGAACCGCACCAUUGAUGGAGUACGAAAUGAGUUGAGAGUCGGCUUCAACUCACAGGCCUAAUCAGUUUCAAGCCUCGAAAAGAUGGCGGGACAACUUGCUUCUUUAGUUCAAACCUUGGCAAUGACUGUUGAGAAAGGUAAGUUUCCAAGUCAACCAGUGCCUAAUCCUAAAGGAGUGCAUGAAGUAAGUACCAGUUCACCACAGCAGCAUGGAGAGGUCAAAGCAGUCAUGACCUUGCGAAAAGGAAAAGAAGUCGAUAAUAAAAUGGAGAUACCGGUGACAAAAGAAAAUCAAAUUGUACUUGUGAAUGUUGAGGACUCACCAUCGGAGGAGAAAGAAGAAACUAACCCACGAGAAUACGUUCCCAAAGCUCCAUUUCCUCAGAGGUUAGCUAAAGGAAAGAAGGAAAAAUCCACAGGUGAGAUUCUUGAAAUCUUCAAAUAGGUAAGUGUUAACAUUCCUUUGUUUGAUGCUAUUAAAUAAGUUCCAUCUUAUACCAAGUUUUUUAAAGAUCUUUGCACUAAAAAGAGAAACAUUUACGUUCAAAAGAAGGCAUUUUUAACAGAAAACGUUAGUUCUAUACUCCAACAUAAAAUUCCUCUAAAAUGCAAAGACACAGGCUUCCUCACUAUCUCAUGUAGUAUAGGGAACUACACAAUUGAGAAUGUUUUGUUGGAUUUAGGAGCUAUUAUAAAUCUGUUGCCUUACUCAGUAUUUUUGAAACUUGGUCUUAGAGAAUUACACCCAACUCUAGUAGUGUUACAGCUUACAGAUUGGUCCACGAAAAUACCUCGUAGUAUUGUGGAGGAUGUGCUUAUCCAGGUAGACAAGUUUUAUUUUUUUGUUGAUUUCAUUGUAAUUGACAUUCAACCAAUACAGGAUUCAAGGAAGCACAUCCCCAUUAUUUUAGGCCGACCUUUCUUGGCAACUGCGAAUGCUCACAUUCAAUGCAGGACUGGAAAUAUGUAGUUGUCCUUCGGCAACAUGACUAUGGAGCUGAACAUCUUCAACAUUACCAAACAACCUCCCAAAAAGUCAGGAGUCACAGUAGUUACCAAUGCUAAUAAUGAAUUUAUACCCACUAGAGUAACUACAUGAUGACGUGUAUGCAUUGAUUAUAGAAAGUUAAAUUCUGUCACAUGUAAAGACCAUUUUCCUUUACCAUUUAUUGAUCAAAUGCUUGAUAGAUUAGCAAGCCAUGAAUUUUAUUGCUUUUUAAAUGGUUACUCAGGAUAUAAUCAGAUUCUCAUAGCACCAAAAGAUCAAGAGAAAACCACUUUCACUUGCCAUGAAAGUAAAAUUCAGAAUAUCCUUUCAUUCUGCCAUGAACAAGCUUGUGGAGGCUAUUUCAGUGCUAAGAAAACAGCUACUAAGGUUUUACAAUGUGGUUUCUAUUGGCCAACUAUAUUUCGAGACGCUUACACUUUCUGUUCUUCAUGUGAUAGGUGUUAACGAAUGGGGAGCAUUACACGAAGGAACAUGAUGCCACUAAAUCCAAUUUCAGUGGUUGAGAUUUUUUACGUAUGGGUUAUCGACUUCAUGGGACCCUUUCCCCCUUCUUUUGGCCAUCAAUACAUAUUGGUUGCUAUUGAUUACGUAUCGAAAUGGGUAGAAGCAAUUCCAUGUAGAACCAAUGAUCACAAGGUGGUGAUAGGAUUUUUGAAAAGCAACAUUGUUUCACGCUUUAGAUUUCCUCGAGCGAUAAUCAGUAAUGGUGGUGCCCACUUUUGUAACAAAGCAUUCAAAGCUCUUUUGACAAAGUAUUCAACCACUCACAAAGUGGCGACCCUUUAUCAUUCGCAAACCAGUGGCCAAGUUGAGAUCUCCAAUCAAGAAAUAAAACACAUAUUAGAAAAAACAUUAAGGCCAGACAAAAAAGAUUGGUCAUUAAGACUUGAUGAUGCAUUAUGGGUAGAUAGAACGGCUUUCAAGACCUCGAUUGGGAUGUCGACCUACAGGCUAGUGUAUGGAAAAGCUUGCCACCUACCUGUGGAACUCGAGCAUCGUGCAUACUAGGCCAUCAAGAAAUUCAACUUUGACAUGCAGUAAGCUAGCUCAGAAAGAAGAUUACAGCUGGUAGAACUUGAAGAAAUUCGCAAUGAUGCAUAUGAAAAUGCCAAGAUUUACAAGCAGCGAAUGAAAGUCUUUCAUGACAAGCAAAUUAUGAGAAAAUCUUUUACUCCAGGUCAGAAUAUGCUUUUAUUCAAUUCUCGCUUGCACCUAUUCCCAGGUAAGUUACGCUCUCGAUGGUCUGGUCACUUUAUUGUUCACACUGUUUUUCCACAUGGGGCAGUUGAAAUUAAGGACCCAAAGAACGGUGUCACGUUUAAACUUAAUGGUCAAAGAUUAAAGCCAUAUCUAGAGUACCAACCACAUGGAGAGGACACCGAAAUAAAUUUGAGUGACCCACCAGAUUUAAAUUGAGUUUUUUUUUCUUUCUUUUCGGUGAUUUGAUUUGAUUUUUUUCUUUCUUUUUAUUAUUCUUUUGCUAAUUGAAAUUAUUUUUGCAUAAGUGUGUUUGUUUAACCAUUAAGUUUUCUCUUAUCAUUGUUAAUCAUGAGUACCAUAGCUAAACAGUUCCUCCUGAACAUUCUUCAACCACUUCAACGUGCAAAAUCUCAUCUCAUCAGACAGAUUCGAUUUUGUAAAACACAUCGUAUUUGGGCUUUGCAACCACCAGAGUUAGUACCCUAUGUUGAGGAUUUAAAAAGCCAACUUAGAGACAUUGAGAGAAGUGUCUAUAACAUCCAGUUGGAGCUUGAGGUAAAUUCAAUAAGAGGACGAUUUUAAUUUUCUUUGUGUGUUUUAAUUUGUUUUUCUGUUUGUGUGCUUUAGUUUGUUACCCCGGUGAAGUGGCGGAUAACGGUACUCCAUGACAAUCAAGUCGGUUACUUCAGUUUCCCAUAAUAAUUGAUAUUCUGAGGCGAAGGUAUGGAAAGAAACGAGAUUCUAGCAAAGCUUCACAAUCGAUUCCCUUCACUUCCUCAAAAUGCCCUCCUUACAAUCUCCAAAGCUCAGUACGAACGCAUGCGAUUGCUCAUGAGGAAUAACAUACCUGCUGACAUCCAUUAGUUAAUCGAGCCUAAAGUAUGAUUAGCAAGUGAGUUACCUCCAAAAUUUAUUGCAUACAUGCCUGGUUGUGGUAAAGGAAAUUAUGUAAGAAAACGAAGAGCUCGAAAAAUUACAGUUGCUUGUGAUAAGUGUGCCAGAAUGAGUUGCGAUAAAAAACCAUGUUCUUUAGGAAUGGUGUCUGAUAACAGGGAAGAUAAGAUUCAAUUCAUUAGUAAUGGCUUGAAUAAGGAGUCAUUGGAUGAUAUCCGUUUGUCUCUUGAAACGCAUCCCUGGUGGAUAUGUGCAAGGAGCGAUUCUCCAGUUAUGGCCAUUAUUCCAGAAAGAGCAUGCACGAUAUAGUCUCAAGAAUCUGACUAGAAACGACCCUGUUUGCCAGUUUAUAAGAAAACUGGAUGGGAAGCCUAUCCUCGACCCAUAGAUGGUGUUCAAGCCGUUUCUGGACGUAAAACCAGAGGAAGAUGUGAGCCACAGUCGCAACUACCUGUAAAUAUCCUUUUACUUCACUAUUAUUUUAUUUCACUGUUGUUUUAUCAUUUGCAUUAUUGUCUUUAAUAAUUUUAUUUUAUCAUUGUUUCUUUUUCUUUUUACUGUUUCCUUUUUGACUCGCGAGCUAUGUGCUUUACGCGUUAUUUGACACUGACAUGCACUAUGACUUUUUGUCAAGCACUUACAAAUUGUUUUUGAGAAAUAUCUCAAUGGUAGCUACUCCUAAUAGACAAUUCAAGAACAUUUGUGUGCUUUCUGGAUUUAACUAUGGCAAACAUAAAGAGUUCGUUGAGGCAGCCAUAGAUUUUGGUCAAAGCAUAGCAGAGAGAAAACUACACUUGGUGUAUGGAGGAUGUAAUCGAGGGUUAUCAAAAUUGGUCUCAGAAGCUGCUUUUGUCAAAGAAAGCUAAGUGUUAGGCAUCAUCCCAAGAGCCCUAAAACCUUUGGGCAGUUUGUCUGACCCACCAACUGGAGAAGAGUUAGUCGUCUCAGGUAUGUAAGAAAGAAUAACUGAAAUGCUUAAUCAUACUGAUGCUUUUAUUUUCCUUCUAGGAGAUCUUGCAACACUAGAGGCACUUAUCACACUAGCAUCUUGGGCCCAUAUGUACAUUCACCAGAAACUCAUCGGUUUGUUAAAUGUCAAUAACUUUUAUGAUGGUUUUAUCGCAUUUCUUAAUCAUGCAAUAAAAAACUAUUUCAUUCCUUCCAAUGUGAAAAAGCUUUUUAUUUGUGCUCACACUGCUAAUGAGUUACUUGAUAUGUUACAAGCUUAUAAACCAGAGCCAGACCCAUGGACCUCUGUGUUGGAGCAUCUAAAUAAUGACGGUAAUAGUAGCCGCAGUAAGAAGUACAAAUUAAAUUUAACUCUCCGCCUAUAAAUAUUUUCUUCUGUGUUACACCACCUAGGUGAUGUCUUCUAAACUCUACUUAUUUCCUUUAAAACAUUGAGGACAAUGUUUCGUUCUGGUUGGGAGGAGGGAAUAGUGGACAAUUAUGGAAUCUUGGUUAAGUUUUUACUAAUUUUUUGUUGUAGAAGCUAACUGUUGCUAACUUUUUGUGUUGAAGAUGGUUGAAUAUGGAGUGUAAUUACUCUAGAAACGCAUUUUCUUAGUUAAAAAAAAACAAAAAAAAUUCUAGAUAUUUUAUUUUUCUUUAUUAAUUUUUUUACAAUCAUUUUUCUUCUUCUUUAUAAUUUCUCCUUUAUAAAUAUACACUUUCUAAUUUUUUUGAGUCGAAGAUAGCUGAAUAUGGAGUGUAGUGCCUCUAGAAACCCAUCUUCUUAGUUAAAAAAAAACAUUUCUUUUUCUAUCAUUUUAAGUGUAACUUUUCUAAUUAGUUUUUCUGCAUCAUUUUCACAUUUCUGCAUGCAUAUUUUCCUUUCAUGUUUAGAAUAGGUUGGGGGGUAGAAUGUUGUUUAAAAAAAAUGUGUGAUUUGUUUUAACAUUGGAUGACAUGAUUAAUUUCAAAUUUUAGUAUUUGUAUGAUCUUUGGUCUUAAGUGAUGAUACUCUAUGUUUGCUACUUCACAUGUUGAUGUCGGAGAUAAAUAUGAGUUGCUUGAAGGAAUGAAUAUGUCAUAAUAAGUACCAAGUGAGUUUUUGAGCCUAUCAUUUUUCUUAGAGAAUAACCCUUUUGUCCAUUCUUUAUAUAGCUUAGCAGUUUAUUAUUUUAUACAUGAUCUCUAGAUUUCUUUUGAGUUAACACUUAAAAGAAAAGUUAUUGUAAAAUUAAAAAAAAAGAAAAAAAUGUGUGUUGCUACAUCUAGAGACCCAUUUAACUAGUAGAUAUGGAAGAUUCUUUAGAGUUCUAAAAAAUGAUGGAAAGGUCAUCUUUGAUUCGUUUGAGCCUUUCUAGCCAUCCCUUUUGUGAAAUAUCCAUAGUUAACCCUUUUGAGCCUUAAAAUAAAAAAAAAAACAUUUUUUUUGUCAACUUAUCAUCUUGACCCACUCCGAUUUGGAGUAUUACCCAAUGUCUUAUAAGUUUCAUCACCUAUUUAUGUUUAAGAAAAAUGUAAAUAAUUAUUUUGUUCAGUGACGUUGUGCCAAACAAAAGCAAAAAAAAAAUUAUUGUUUUAAAAAAAGAAAAAAAAGAAAAAAAAUAACAAUAAUAGGUGAAAUCCACCCUGCAACUUCCAACAAAAUACAAAACAAAAUUAAAAUCUCUGCAUUUUUCUCAAACAUACACUUUAUUUUCCUUAUUUCCCCUCCUUUGUUAGCCAUGUCUCUAGCCUACGUUACGUCCUAAUAAAAGUCCUUCUUGAUUUUAGGGAACGAUAGUCUGAAGUAGAAGCUAGUUAUAUGGACUAAAAAGAUGUAGUGGUGCAUAAACAAAAAAAAUAAAAAUAAAUAAAUUGGGUUGACUAGCAUUUUUAUUUGACUUGAGAUCGUAUUAUUUCUAAGCUGAGGCAUAUUUUUUUCAGCUUGGUGAGAGCAUGUGAUAUCACGUCUUUAUUAUUUUCUCUCAAUUACCAUUCAUUGGAAUGACUAUUUUUAUUGGGUUUAGUUUCUUUGUGAGAGUGUCACUACUUCCAGUGAGAUUUUGGGGUUUGACAUGUCAUUCUUGAAAGUAGCCAUGCCAAAGUCUACUGGGCUGAUUCAUGUGGAUGGUUGAUGUGGGUGUGAUGUUUCUUUAGACUGGAGAUAAUCCUUAUACUUUUAUUUGAUUACUAUCAUUAGUCUAAUUGAAUAAACAUUAUUGUUAAAAAAAAAUUAUUUUGGAUUUGAAUUUUAUUUUUGCUUUAUUUGCUAGGGACUAGCAAUAAGCUGGUUGGGGGGUGUGUUGAGUGUUAGAAAAUGUAUAUUUAUAAAGGAGAAAAUCGUCAUUUUAUACUUCAAAUUUUACUAACACCCUUACUUUUAUGUAUUUAAGCUUCUUGUCAUUUAAUUAUGUGUGUUAUAUUAUAAUUAAGUAUUUUAUGUAUUUUAGGGGCAUCAUAGUCAUUUCACAAUGAACGAGAGAUUAGACGGCAAAACGGACAUCACUUUUGAACUCAGGACGGUCGAAAACCUUAGGAGGAGCAAGAAAGGAAAAAUGGCACUGUUCACAUGUACGGUACUGUUCACAUAUACGGUACUAUCUACGUUACUGUUUACGACACUGUUCACAUAGAUGGAUCGAUGGCGUGGCAUUGACCGAUGAUGUGGCAUUGACUGAUGAGGUGUCACGAUCCUAUUGGACUAAAAUUCUUAUGCACGGUUGAUCGAUGAUGUGGCAGCAUAGCAAUGGACCAAAAAUCUCGCGUACGGUACAUGCAUUACACAUGAUUAUUUUCAACCAAACCGCGUCACUAUUCAAGCCGGGUCAAACCGUGUUACUAUUCAAACUGCGUGGUCAAACCGCGUACUGUUGACUGAUGACGUGGCACAAUCCUGAGCGUCCAAACUGUUUUUAAUUCGAUGGCCACGAUUUACUCAAUGUAUCUAUAAAAAGGGGGUCUACCCCCCCUAAUUAGAUAGCUCUGAAUCCAUUUUUGGACUCCAUUUUCUGUAAUUCCCUCUCUAUCUUAUAUUUUCUACGUAUUUUAAUAAAUUUCUAUUUUGUCCCUAGUUCAAUUAUGAGUAGCUAAUUUUCUUUCAAGCUUGGGUUAAAGGUGAAGUCUCAACAUGUGUCAUGGGCUUUAUUUGGUAAAUUUAUUUUCUUUUCCCCUCUAAUUUUUGUGGAUGUUUUGACUUCUCGUCGACAAAUAAUAAAAAUCUUCUCUAGAUACCGCCUUGAUUUCACCGGUUCUCUAGUACAAGGUUAUUAUUAUUUGGCACGAUAAGCCCUUAGCAUCAUAUUGAUUAGAGUGUGGUUCAUGAGGUGUGGAUUCCCCCUUCAUGAUUUAAUUGGCAUUAAUAAUGAAUAUUUAGCCCAUGAUGCAUAUUGAUACGGAUCUAGAUACUCAAGUACGUUAUUUCAAUAUAUUUCACUUCAAUUUAUUCUCACCAUUUCAAUUCCAAUUUCAGAAUAAUCUAAUGCUGCGUUUACUUUUUGGAUUGGAGUGAGAAUCCUUGGAUUAGGAGUGUGGAGUGGGAGUGAGAGUAGGGUGUUUACUUAGACUAAAUGAAAGUAUAGAUUGUCAAUCAGAAUCCUAAUUAUUUGUUUACUUUGUCUUGGAUUGGGAGUAAAUUGUUUUAAAUUAUAAUUUAAUCCUUAUGUACAGAAUUAUAAUUUGUAAUUAAAAAAUUAAUAAAA
rnacentral:lncRNA from 1 species